CCUACGGGAGGCAGCAGUGAGGAAUAUUGGUCAAUGGACGAGAGUCUGAACCAGCCAAGUAGCGUGAAGGAUGACUGCCCUAUGGGUUGUAAACUUCUUUUAUAUGGGAAUAAAACAGGGUAUGCAUACCCUCUUGUAUGUACCAUAUGAAUAAGGAUCGGCUAACUCCGUGCCAGCAGCCGCGGUAAUACGGAGGAUCCGAGCGUUAUCCGGAUUUAUUGGGUUUAAAGGGAGCGUAGGUGGAUUGUUAAGUCAGUUGGGAAAGUUUGCGGCUCAACCGUAAGAUUGCAGUUGAAACUGGCAGUCUUGAGUACAGUAGAAGUAGGCGGAAUGCGUGGUGUAGCGGUGAAAUGCUUAGAUAUCACGAAGAAUUCCGAUUGCGAAGGCAGCUCACUGGCCUGCAACUGACGCUGAUGCACGAAAGUGUGGGUAUCAAACAGGAUUAGAUACCCCAGUAGUC
rnacentral:rRNA from 1 species